rnacentral:lncRNA from 13 species
AUCUUUCGAGGAAAGCCAUCACAUCAUGAACACGAUCAAACUUAAGACAUUUCUGUUACGAUUUAGUAUAUAUGUACAAAUUUUUUAUGAUAUAGUAUACAUGUACAAUUUUUUUAAAGUUGGUCAAGAGAUUCCUAAUUCUUUAUGCAAACAGAUUUGGAAAAGCAGCUGACAAGGAUGUCUUGUACUCAGCAUUCAGGAUUGUUUUCAUCCGUUAACAUCCAAUUGUUAAAGAGUGGUCUCCACAAUAUUUCCCAAAUCUACGUUUGUAUGCAUGUGUUAAUACCACUCAAACACAAACCAGCUCUUCACAGGGAAUCUUGAAAACUAAAAGUCAGCAAAUCCAAAGGGCUGUUCCUUUCUAGCAAAGCACAAAACAGUGUUUGUGCUACCUGCCCGUUAAUUUACCAACACAUAUUACUAGUUUCGUAAUGCAGACUGUAUCCAGAUUCGGGGAUGUUUCAAAAUAUACAUAAAUGGAAUUUACUAAAAAGAUUCAAAAUACUUAAAGAAUACUUAAUCAGUAUACAAAUCAGUACUAAUUGUGCUUCUUUUGAAGCAAGGGAAGAGACAAAAACUGCGCUGAACACAAGCAGAAUCCAGUGACUUGCAAGGAAAAACUUUCCCCUAUACGCCUAAUGAACCCAACCUAAGGUCAACUCCCAGUUCCUGAACUCCUUGGAGCAGCUCAAAUCCUAGCUUUCUUCUGCAGAGAAGGGGGAGGGGAGGUGGGCUUGCAGAGGGACAAUACCCGCCCUUUUGUGCAGAAUAACACCUCUUCCCCUUAUUAGCACUUUCGAUCAGUUCAAGGCAAGUGCGGUUAAGGUCCUGGCCUCAGUAGCUUGGUGUGAGGCGGACUCCACCAAAAGGUUCUCAAGCCUGGCGGCAACCCGGCCCCACAAAGCGCGGGUUCGGAGGUUGGCGGGAAGACAAAGACGCAUUUGCCGUGGGGUCCGGACGCAGAAGGGAAAUGACCCGGAAAACUAAAGACCUUGGAUCGGGUCUGAGGAAUGAAGCAGGCCACAGGAAGAAGUGGAGAGAAGUGCUCCUCAAGCUGCCUGGGUACCAUGCCUUUCUUCCCAUAGGGGAUGCCAUUGUACUGGCAGUUGUCUUGGAGGCAAGUAUUUAUUUAUUUAAAGAUAUAAUUUUAAUUAUAUGAAACCCCAAAUUUAAGAGUGGGUAAAAUAUUAACAGAACAAUUAGAUGUAUUGUUUAUCACCUUGAUUUCCAAGCCCUUUCAGACUCAAAUCCAUUUGGGAGUCAUAAAAGAUCACCAGGACUGGCCAUUUAAAAAAUUACCUCAAAUCACAAUUAGCAGCUCUUUAUUUGCCGGUUUUAUGCAUACACUAAUGUGCUGUUUCUGUUUCCAUUUUAGAAAUGAUUUGCUAUGACCAACUACACUGAAAAUGAGUGCACAGGCAGAGGUUGAGGUCAUUUAAAAGCAAACACAUUCAAAAUUUGAAGUUAAAUAGUGUACUUGCCAUAGGUGUUUAAUUUUUCUUAUACUUUGGUUUUUGGUGAUCUUCUGGGUGAGGACUUUGAAGAUUAUAAUUAUUUCAAAAAAUGCUUUAGGUGAUGGGAAAGGUCUCAAAAGAAAUCUAGAAAAACAAAACAUAGCACCUGUGGAAAGGAAGGGAAGAAAGGAGGGAGGGAGGGAAAGAGAGAGAAGAGAGAGAAAGAAAACGAAAGAAAGUAUACUAGUAGAUAUUUAUUUCUCUUCAUGUUUUCAGCAAAAGACAUUGACUGGAAAAUUUUAAAAUUAUAUUUAAUUGUAGUAAAAAUGAUAUUAAUAAAGAGAAAAGUAUCAGUUUCA